rnacentral:misc_RNA from 1 species
UAACCAUCAAGCCUAGCUUGGUAUUGGACAUCACCUUGUGGUGAGUCUUAAAAUUAGUGGCGGCGCCAUUCAGCUCCAAGUGUAGUAAAUUUCUCGCUUCUGGGGUAAGAUUUUGUGCUUGCCAGAACCCCUAAUAUACUAAG